CUGGGACAUCUGCUGCCGUUGUAGGAAACUGCAGGCUGGUCCACGGGAGACUAUCAUCAUGGACAUCAUGGAAAAGAUGGAUGAGUGCCUAAAUAGUCAAAAACUGAGAUUUGUUCAGUUACCCCGGAAACCCCCCUUCUGAUACUGCGACAAAGCAGAAAUAUCCCUCCAGUCCGCCUCAAGCCAACCAACCAUCUGCCAGAGGACGGGACAGAGACACGGCAGCGCAGCCUGUGAGGACAAUGCGGCGUCUGUCUGCGACACUUAGGACCAAGAAUGGUAACUUGCUCAUAAAGGGAGAUGAAAUGUUUGAAACUGGACAAUCACCACUUUCCUCUGAGGGCUCAGUCAGUCUGCAGUAUAUGUUAAAUUAAGCCCAAUUUUGAUUCAUCAUUGUUUGUUAUAAACUCAAGUUCAAAAAGGUAAAUUCAUUGAACAGUA